AUGCCUUUCACCCUCUCCUUCUUUUCCCAUUUUGUUUUACUGCCUCCAUGCUGUUCCUCUUUAUUUCCAGUAUUUUAUUUCAAGGAGCCAGUUUGAAGUGCUCUCAGCCCAUCUGCUGGCUUGGGUUCGAACGAGGGCUGGAACAAGACGAGGAGGUUUGGAAGCCACGAGCUAUUUAUAGUGUAUUUGUUCUUUCACAUUGGCACAGAACUUUGUUUAUAGUAUCACCUGCGGUAGAAGCCAAGCCAGGGGACCACAGCUCACUUGAUCUAAAAUUGGCUUUAUUUCUUGCAUUUCUUAACAUAGACCACAUGUGUAUGCCUGCUGCCCGCCAGCGUGUGGUUGGUGCUUGCACACACAGAGCACAAACACCGAGUGCUCAUGAGCGCGCAUAUGAAGCUCCCGAUGAGAGGCUCCCACAGAUGCUAAACAAAGCUGCAAGGAGAAGGGAGCUGUGUGUGUGCGUUGCCACCCUAGAAAGGAACGGAUCCCAAGAGAAAUCUUGAAUGAAAAUUUUUCAUUGCAAUUUCUCCCGUCGGUUUUCAUUUGCUCCAAGUAGUAUUUUCGCCUUGGGUUGGCCUGUUGAAAAACAAUGAUCAUUUUUAUUUUCCUUCUGCAUUAAAUAUUUUUUCUUCCUUUCAAAACAAAACAACAAUUUAAAUUGAAACCCAAAGAAAUCUGUCAUUUUAAAUUGCUGUUUUGACAUAAAAGCAUUUCAUUUAUUUUUCUAGCCAAGAAUCGACAUUUCAAUUUGAACCACGACAAAAUUUUUCAUUUUCUUUCAAAGUAUCAAUUACAAAUGAAAAUAUUUUCAUUUCUUCUCCUCAGAAAGUCAGAAUUUUUCAUGCUUCCAAAAUUGCAGUGAUCAUUUGAUUGGAAGAGCUGAGGUUUAAGCAAAGACAUGAAUUAAACAGCAGAACUGGCAUUCAAUUCUGGAAGCUGGUAAAAAGUGUUUCUGUUUGCAGAGUAGAUGUCCGGGUAAGUGCUUGUAAUACUGCGUACUCCUGACCUGUGUUUGCAUGCAGCUGUGGUAGGAUAACUAACUGCUUAUGAGCUUUUACCAAGUUGCUUUGCUGAAUGUAGCUUUUAGCCAGAUGAAAGUUUACUUCCUAGUCUAAAUCAACCAUUUAAGCACUUCUUAGUAAGCAGAGAGAAACUUUCAAAGCAUGCAACCCAUUGUGUCCCAAGAUUAAUCUCCUGUGACAGCAGAGGCCUUCCAGACCAGACACCUAUUCAGAAUGGCCAUCUAAUAUUCAGGUAACCCAGCAGCCAUACUGUUUCUGAGUCCAUCCUCUCAGGAAGACAUGGGCUAAAUAG
rnacentral:lncRNA from 1 species